AUAUCCCAAAACAUGCUAAGUUUGUGUUCGAACGCAGCCCUGGCUGUUCCAGCUGCUGCGCGCGUAUUUUGAACUGAUGGAUUGAAAAUGUAGGUCAGGAUUCUGCGCAUAAAAUACCUACUGGAAAUGGAGAGGGGAUUCUAACAGUAAGCUACUAAUUCGUUUCACUUGGGAAACCUUAUAUAACUUUAUGUCUAGAUCACCAUCGGAAAAUCUAAAGGUCACGUUUUCGACCCAGUCGAAAAUAUCUUGGGCCUUACAUGGUUGAAUUAAAUCUCUUUGUUAUAUUUAUACCUAUUCCGAUCUUAUUUCUCUUUAUCGGAACAGCCUAGUCCUACUGAAUAAUGCAAACGAAAAAGGCCUUUAUUGUAGUCUCUCUUUUUUAAAUCGAUCAGCUGAUUUCGAUGCCUAAUUAGAAAGCAGACGACUGAAUACAGGAAAAGAUGAACGAAUAAUUUCAUAUUCAUGCACACGCACAUGUUCAUCAGCCGUGAAACAAUGAGUCUCAUAAAUGAGAUCAGACUUAUCUAUAAAGCUGCUGUUGAUGCUGUGAGACCUGGCUUCCUUGUAAACCAAGCAAUCAAAUAUUCAGACAAUGUAGUUCACAUUCAGGGAGAACUAGAGCUUGCAGUGGACAGGAAUUGCCAUGUUAUAGGAUUUGGAAAGGCUGUUUUGGCAAUGGCUCUGCAAAUAGACAAGAUUAUUGGGCAACACAUUGUGAAAGGAGUCAUAUCUAUACCUCAUGGAGUGGCUGCACAGUAUAGCUUGCCAGAUCAGUUCUUGAAUCGGUACACCAUCUAUGAAGGGGCUGUAAACAACAUUCCUGAUGAAGGUUCUUUAAAAGCUACCAAGGAAAUAGAAAACAUGGUUGCAAACUUGAAAAAUGAUGAUUUGUUGUUUGUAUUGGUAUCAGGAGGAGGUUCUGCAUUGUUGGCAUCCCUAGCUGAGGACCUCUCUUUAGAUGAGAAAAAAAAAACCAUCAAUCUACUGUCCAAGUCUGGCGCUAAUAUUCAAGAACUUAAUUCAGUGAGAAAGAAAUUGUCCCGGAUCAAAGGUGGCAAACUGGCGCAGCUUUCGUACCCUGCUACAACAAUUGCCUUAAUUCUGUCAGAUGUUAUUGGUGAUCCACUUGAUGUCAUCGCCAGUGGGCCCACGGUGAAAAACAAGGAUCCUGCGAAUAUAGGCUUGGAUAUUAUUCAAAAGUAUCAGCUUGGCAAUCAGCUACCCACCCGAGUCGUAGAAUGCCUUUCGUCCCCGACCACAAGCAAUCUGGACGAUACAAUAUUUUCCCACGUACAUAAUUUUCUAAUUGGAAGCAAUCUAAGUGCACUACAAGCAGCCGAAGCUUACGCUAACCAGACUGGUUUCGCUACAGCUAUUUUAAGCGAUCGCAUUAAUGGAGAAGCUAAAGAAAUUGGUCUGCAGUUUGCUCGAUUAGCUCGCCUUUUCGCCCAGAUGAUGACCAUGUCAAAUGAUCAGCACGAAAAAAUGGAAGAAUUGUCCGUAACUGCCGAAAACUUACACAUAGACCCGCGUUAUUGUUGCACAUUGGAGCGACUUGUACGCAGUUGCCGCAACGCACGAAAAAACUUGUGUCUGAUUGGAGGAGGAGAGACCACGGUUUCAGUUCGUGGCGAAGGCCUUGGAGGUCGUAAUCAAGAAAUGGUCCUGAGUUAUUUAGUAGAGACUGCUGUUGAGGCAUGCUCAGACGAAUUGGAUAUUGUAUUCCUAAGCGCCGGAACAGAUGGAAUUGACGGACCAACUGCAGCAGCUGGGGCUUUUUCCUGUCAGAGCCAAUUUGCUCUAGCUCAGGCACAAGGCCUCAACCCUCGGACUUAUCUGGAUAACAACGAUUCUUAUAAUUUUUUCAACCUACUUCAACAAGGGUUGAUGCGACUGUGGCGAAAUCGAGUAUGACUCUAAAUGGCUUCGAAGUACGAUACGACUGCUUCUGUCUCGCUUAAUCACUGUCUUUCAAUGUUUGUAAACCCAAGAAGAAGCAAUUGGGAUUCGGAAUUCACGUUUUCUUGACGUCCAAUUACCGGAAUAUCGAGUGGUUUUAACUGCACAGCGGGAAUAGCCUUUGUAUUGAACAACAUCAAAAGGCUUCCAUCAGAAAAGGCCGUAUAAUUGAUCAAUAAUAAUGCUGGGCUUUUAAUCGCUUUAUCGAAUGAAUUCAUCGAUUUACGUGACGGCAAUACUUUGUUUCUCAAGUCGUGGCUGUUGCUAAGGCUUUUCUCGGAAAGGCAAUAACUAAUAAACUGGGUUGCAAAUAGACAGUACACUUUUAACCCAGAAAAUAAUAUUCAGAAUUCUAGUAAUGAAUAUGGUGCAGAGGAAUGUAUAUUUUCACAAUUUCUUUCUGUAUUUCCUGUGGUAUAAUGCAGGAAAGCCCACUACCCACUUAAUUAAAAUGAGAAAGUAAAGGAAAAUUUUUGCCCAGCCAAUAAUGCAGGACACAGAAACAAUUAUCUACUUGUGUUGUUGAAUCAAUGCUCGCAGCUGUGUUUCGUUAGCUCCAGAAAACUCUGCCACCUGUAUGAAAUGCAUAUUAAAAUAAAUUGGUUUGGAUCUUUUCCAAAAGUUGA
rnacentral:misc_RNA from 1 species